AACGAACGCUGGCGGCAUGCCUAACACAUGCAAGUCGAACGAGACCUUCGGGUCUAGUGUCGCACGGGUGCGUAACGCGUGGGAACCUGCCCUUAGGUUCGGAAUAACUCCCCGAAAGGGGUGCUAAUACCGGAUAAUGUCUUCGGACCAAAGAUUUAUCGCCUUUGGAUGGGCCCGCGUUGGAUUAGCUAGUUGGUAGGGUAAAAGCCUACCAAGGCGACGAUCCAUAGCUGGUCUGAGAGGAUGAUCAGCCACACUGGGACUGAGACACGGCCCAGACUCCUACGGGAGGCAGCAGUGGGGAAUAUUGGAAAAUGGGCGAAAGCAUGAUCCAGCAAUGCCGCGUGAGUGAUGAAGGCCUUAGGGUUGUAAAGCUCUUUUACCCGGGAUGAUAAUGACAGUACCGGGAGAAUAAGCUCCGGCUAACUCCGUG
rnacentral:rRNA from 1 species